CCUACGGGUGGCUGCAGUGGGGAAUAUUGGGCAAUGGGCGCAAGCCUGACCCAGCAACGCCGCGUGAAGGAAGAAGGCUUUCGGGUUGUAAACUUCUUUUGUCAGGGAAGAGUAGAAGACGGUACCUGACGAAUAAGCCACGGCUAACUACGUGCCAGCAGCCGGGGUAAUACGUAGGUGGCAAGUGUUGUCCGGAUUUACUGGGGGUAAAGGGCGUGUAGCCGGGUUGACAAGUCAGGUGUGAAAUCCUGCGGCUUAACCGCAGAACUGCAUUGGAAACUGGUGAUCUUGAGUACUGGAGAGGCAGACGGAAUUCCUAGUGUAGCGGUGAAAUGCGUAGAUAUUAGGAGGAACACCAGUGGCGAAGGCGGUCUUCUGGACAGCAACUGACGGUGAGGCGCGAAAGCGUGGGGAGCAAACAGGAUUAGAUACCCUAGUAGUC
rnacentral:rRNA from 1 species